rnacentral:sRNA from 1 species
UUCCUGACAGAUGCCAUCGUGAGGAAAAUGAGCCGGAUGUUCUGUCAGGCUGCGAGAGGGGAACAGCCGUUCCAGCCCUGGCGUAUUUGUCCUCCCUUCCUCCCAAGUGGACCUGACGCUGGACCCUGACACGGCUCACCCGGCCCUGAUGCUGUCCCCUGACCGCCGGGGGGUCCGCCUGGCAGAGCGGCGGCAGGAGGUUGCUGACCAUCCCAAGCGCUUCUCGGCCGACUGCUGCGUACUGGGGGCCCAGGGCUUCCGCUCCGGCCGGCACUACUGGGAGGUAGAGGUGGGCGGGCGGCGGGGCUGGGCGGUGGGUGCUGCCCGUGAAUCAACCCAUCAUAAGGAAAAGGUGGGCCCUGGGGGUUCCUCCGUGGGCAGCGGGGAUGCCAGCUCCUCGCGCCAUCACCAUCGCCGCCGCCGGCUCCACCUGCCCCAGCAGCCCCUGCUCCAGCGGGAAGUGUGGUGCGUGGGCACCAACGGCAAACGCUAUCAGGCCCAGAGCUCCACAGAACAGACGCUGCUGAGCCCCAGUGAGAAACCAAGGCGCUUUGGUGUGUACCUGGACUAUGAAGCUGGGCGCCUGGGCUUCUACAACGCAGAGACUCUAGCCCACGUGCACACCUUCUCGGCUGCCUUCCUGGGCGAGCGUGUCUUUCCUUUCUUCCGGGUGCUCUCCAAGGGCACCCGCAUCAAGCUCUGCCCUUGAUUAUCCUGCCACCCGCAGGGGCCCCUCUGUCAGCACUUGGGGG